rnacentral:rRNA from 1 species
GAUGAACGCUGGCGGCGUGCUUAACACAUGCAAGUCGAACGGUGAAGCAGGAGCUUGCUCUUGUGGAUCAGUGGCGAACGGGUGAGUAACACGUGAGCAACCUGCCCCUGACUCUGGGAUAAGCGCUGGAAACGGCGUCUAAUACUGGAUAUGUGAUGUGACCGCAUGGUCUGCAUCUGGAAAGAAUUUCGGUUGGGGAUGGGCUCGCGGCCUAUCAGCGUGUUGGUGAGGUAAUGGCUCACCAAGGCGUCGACGGGUAGCCGGCCUGAGAGGGUGACCGGCCACACUGGGACUGGGACACGGCCCAGACUCCUACAGGAGGCAGCAGUGGGGAAUAUUGCACAAUGGGCGGAAGCCUGAUGCAGCAACGCCGCGUGAGGGAUGACGGCCUUCGGGUUGUAAACCUCUUUUAGCAGGGAAGAAGCGAAAGUGACGGUACCUGCAGAAAAAGCACCGGCUAACUACGUGCCAGCAGCCGCCGUAA